GGUACACUUUUCCAAAGAAGACCGGUCAGUAUCUAAUUUCUUUCUAUGUUUUAUGAAUAAGCUUUCACUCAUUCUCUGCUGCCACUUCUAGAUUUAAUUCUGCUAUCGCACAUAUUUUGAAAUCUAUGCUUAUAGAGAAAUUUUAAUAAGGGAUGUGUAUGGUUUUGUUAACCCAACUCUCGGGCUUCUUUGGACUCAACCUCAUACAUCAGUUAACCACUUAUCUGUUGAUCAAACUGCAAGGGCAUGGCACCUUGUCAGUUUUUUGCUUUAUAAUGAAGUGAAUUGAAAUAUAAUGACAUUUUCUAUGACUGGGAGGAUUGAUGCCUUUUAGUACAUUUCACAUUUGCUUUGUGGAGACCAGAUAAAUCAACAGUGCUUGUGGAAACCAGAUAAAUCAACAGCACAUGAACUAAGUCAUUGAACUGCAUUUUUCACUUCUCAAUACUGGAAUGUUGGAAUUGUUAUUGUUUUAGUAUGGUCAAACAUAUGUUGUUCUUUAUUAGUUUCAAGUUAGUGAUAAAUUGCUUAAAAUUCUUUUUGUUAUUAUUUAUUUAUAUUUUUUGUUUGUUUGUUUGUUUGCAGAGGUCCUUUUAACAAAGAUUACA
rnacentral:misc_RNA from 1 species